GGCUAACACAUGCAAGUCGAGCGGAAACGAGAAUAGCUUGCUAUUCGGCGUCGAGCGGCGGACGGGUGAGUAAUGCCUGGGAAAUUGCCCUGAUGUGGGGGAUAACCAUUGGAAACGAUGGCUAAUACCGCAUAACGCCUUCGGGCCAAAGAGGGGGACCUUCGGGCCUCUCGCGUCAGGAUAUGCCCAGGUGGGAUUAGCUAGUUGGUGAGGUAAAGGCUCACCAAGGCGACGAUCCCUAGCUGGUCUGAGAGGAUGAUCAGCCACACUGGAACUGAGACACGGUCCAGACUCCUACGG
rnacentral:rRNA from 1 species